ensembl:snoRNA
ACACCGGAUAUUAUUUUAAAAAAUUUAUCUAUGUCGUCCCAUGCCAGAGCAAACUGUGGCCCUGAAUUAUUGCCUGGUCUCUGUGCCUGUGGGGUGCUGUUACUGAAGCCAGUUGCACAGUA